AUACGGAGGAUGCAAGCGUUAUCCGGAUUUAUUGGGUUUAAAGGGUGCGUAGGCGGUUUGUCAAGUCAGCGGUGAAACGCAAGGGCUUAACCCUUGACCUGCCGUUGGAACUGGCGGACUUGAAUGCGGAUGCUGUGGGUGGCAUGUGUGGUGUAGCGGGGAAAUGCAUAGAUAUCACACAGAACACCGAUUGCGAAGGCAUCUCACAAAUCCGUGAUUGACGCUGAGGCACGAAAGUGUGGGGAUCAAACAGGAUUAGAUACCCUGGUAGUCCACACUGUGAACGAUGAUGACUCGCUGUCGGCGAUAUACAGUCGGUGGCCAAGCGAAAGCGAUAAGUCAUCCACCUGGGGAGUACGACCGCAAGGUUGAAACUCAAAUGAAUUGACGGGG
rnacentral:rRNA from 1 species